rnacentral:rRNA from 1 species
GAUAGGUCUGCGGCCGAUUAGGUUGUUGUUGAUGUAACGGAUCAACAAGCCUCCGAUCGGUAUGGGUUGUGAGAGCAAUAGCCCAGAGAUGGGUUCUGAGAGAAGAACCCAGGUCCUACGGGACGCAUCAGGCGCGAAAACUUUACAAUGUGCGAAAGCACGAUAAGGGAACUCUGAGUGCCUCCUAAGGAGGCUGUUCAGGUGUCUAAAAAGCAUCUGAAGGAAGGGCUGGGUAAGACCGGUGCCAGCCGCCGCGGUAACACCGGCAGCCCAAGUGGUGGCCACUUUUACUGGGUCUAAAGCGUUCGUAGCCGGCCAGGUAAGUUCCUUGGGAAAUUUGACCGCUUAACGGUCAAGCUUUCAGGGAAUACUGCGUGGCUUGAGACCGGGAGAGGUCAGAGGUACCUCAAGGGUAGGGGUGAAAUCCGUUAAUCCUUGGGGGACCACCAGUAGCGAAGGCGUCUGACCAGACCGGAUCCGACGGUCAGGAACGAAGGCUAGGG